CAGGAUGAACGCUAGCGACAGGCUUAACACAUGCAAGUCGAGGGGCAGCAUAAAAGUAGCAAUACUUUGGUGGCGACCGGCGCACGGGUGAGUAACGCGUAUGCAACCUACCUAUCAGAGGGGAAUAACCGGCGAAAGUCGGACUAAUACCGCAUAAAACAGGGGCACCGCAUGGUGAUAUUUGUUAAAGAGAUUCGCUGAUAGAUGGGCAUGCGUUCCAUUAGGUAGUUGGUGAGGUAACGGCUCACCAAGCCGACGAUGGAUAGGGGAACUGAGAGGUUGGUCCCCCACACUGGUACUGAGACACGGACCAGACUCCUACGGGAGGCAGCAGUGAGGAAUAUUGGUCAAUGGGGCGGGAGCCUGAACCAGCCAAGUCCGCGUGAAGGAAGAAGGAUCUAUGGUUCGUAAACUUCUUUUGCAGGGGAAUAAAGUGCAGGACGUGUCCUGUUUUGUAUGUACCCUGAGAAUAAGGAUCGGCUAACUCCGUGCCAGCCGCGGC
rnacentral:rRNA from 1 species